GUGGUGGCGAUGAUCGCCGAGCGGUGGCGUUGUUCGAGCGACGACGGCGCUGUCUGGAAAUCUGUCUCGUGGGCAGACCCACACGUAUUAUUGAUAUUACCUAUUUGAUAACAUCUCACGCAUCAAGAAUUUCAUAUUUAAUUCCACGGUGGUGUUAAUUUUCUAUAAGAUAUAGAAUGGCCACUGCUGAGGUGAACGGCAGUUCUGCCCUAGCAAAGGAGGAGGAUGAACCGAUGGACGUGUCGACCACGCACACGGAGAAUUACCAGACGUUACUGGACGCCGGUCUCCCUCUGAAAGUAGCGGAAAGCCUGGAUAACAUUUUCCAGACAGGCUUGGUAGCGUACGAGGACCUGGAUGAACGGGCGAUCGACGCGUUGCGGGAGUUCAACGAGGAAGGGGCCCUCACGGUGCUGCUGCAGUUCAAAGAAAGUGACUUGUCCCAUGUUCAGAACAAAAGUGCUUUCCUCUGUGGUGUCAUGAAGACGUAUAGGCAGAGGGAAAAGCAAGGAAGCAAAGUACAAGAAUCCACCAAGGGCCCUGACGAGACCAAAAUCAAGGCUCUGCUGGAUCGAACUGGAUACACAUUGGAUGUGACCACGGGGCAAAGGAAAUACGGGGGACCCCCACCACCCCAGGUCUUCACGGGGUGCCAGCCCGGCGUUGGCACGGAGGUGUUUGUGGGAAAGAUCCCCAGAGACCUGUACGAGGACGAGCUGGUGCCCCUCUUUGAGACGGCCGGGCCCAUCUGGGAUCUCAGGUUAAUGAUGGACCCCCUGUCUGGCCAGAACCGCGGCUACGCCUUCAUCACCUACUGCAACAAGGACGACGCGCAGGAGGCUGUGAAACUCUGUGAUAACUAUGAGAUCCGGCCAGGGAAGUACUUGGGAGUGUGCAUAUCGGUGGCAAACAAUCGGCUGUUUGUAGGAUCCAUUCCAAAGAACAAGACGAGAGAGAGCAUAUUGGAGGACUUUGGCAAAGUCACAGAGGGUCUCCAGGAGGUGAUCCUGUACCACCAGCCGGACGACAAGAAGAAGAACCGCGGCUUCUGCUUCCUGGAGUACGAGGACCACAAGUCGGCCGCCCAGGCCCGCCGCCGCCUCAUGAGCGGCAAGGUGAAGGUGUGGGGGAACCCCGUCACGGUGGAGUGGGCCGACCCCGUGGCCGAGCCCGACCCGGAUGUCAUGGCCAAGGUGAAGGUGCUGUUUGUGAGGAAACUAGCCACGCCGGUCACUGAGGAGCUCCUGGAGAAGACCUUCUCUCAGUUUGGCAAGCUGGAGCGUGUGAAGAAGCUCAAAGACUACGCGUUCGUCCACUUUGAGGAGCGGGACUCUGCAGUGAAGGCGAUGGAGGAGAUGAAUGGGAAGGAGCUGGGCGGGGAGGAGAUUGAGAUAGUCCUGGCCAAACCCCCAGACAAGAAGAGGAAGGAGAGGCAGGCGGCCCGCCAGACCACCAGGAACACAGGGUAUGACGACUACUACUACUACCCCCCGCCCCGCAUGCCCCCCCCAGGCCGGGGCCGGGGCCGCGGCGGCCGAGGGGGCUACGCCUACCCGCCCGACUACUACGGCUACGAAGACUACUACGACGACUACUACGGGGGCUACGACUACCACGACUACCGCGGCGGCUACGAGGACCCCUACUACGGCUACGACGACAUGUACAGCAUGAGGGGCCGGGGGUCGCGUCCCGGCCGGGCGGGGCCGCCGCCGCCCAGGGCCCGGGGGGCCCCUCCCACGCGGGGCCGGGGGGGCUACGCACAGCGGGGGCCCCCCAUCGGAGGGCCCCGGGGCGGCAGAGGAGGCCGCGGGGCCCCCUUCCAGCCGCAGAGGGGCCGCGGCCCCCGUGGCGCCAGGGGCAACCGCGGCGGUAACGUGGGCGGGAAGAGGAAGGCGGACGUGUUCAACCAGCCCGACUCGAAGCGCCGGCAGACCAACAACCAGCAGAACUGGGGGUCCCAGCCCAUCGCCCAGCAGCCCCUGCAGCAGGGUGCCGACUAUUCCGGUGGAGCAUCAUUGAGAGUGCGGCACGGCUAGCGUGAGGAACUCCCCUGAGCGGUACUCGAGGGUGAGCUCGCCUUGCACAGAGUACCUUCUCCUCCUCACCCUGCUGCUUACUCUUUAAUCACUGGCUGUGAACAACAAAACAACUAGCAGACGCCAUUGUUCCUCUACUAACGAUUCAGCGUCUAGCGUUGUUUCAGCGAUUUCGGUUGGGUCAUGAGGUCGGAUCCGACAACAGAAAGCGGACGGGCGGGGAUUUGGGUAGGGACGCGAUACCCUAGCAAUAAUAAUUUGGAGAACUGCCCUAGUCAUCCAGCUUACAAAGGAGCAAAAUAUCCAUGGCCUGUUUUCACCACUAGGUGUAGCAAUGGGGCACAGUGCAGCAAAGACAGUCCCGUUCUGUGAUCCCAGUGAUGGCUUAGUUAUGGAGAUGGUUACUACAAUUGUGCGUUGGAUUGUGAAUAAUUCAACAUAUUUUAAAUUAUUCUACUUGUAGUGGGGUUAAUUCAUUCAGACGUGAGACGGUGCCUCAAAAGAUGUUUUAAUCUGUACAGCCACUAGAUGGCACUAGGUGGCUAAAAUAAGGGGUGUGUCUGUGAGAGAAUGAGAUGCAGGAUGGAUGGAUGGAUGUCGUGACUCCUGUAAAAAUCCUGGCAUUAAGCAAUGUGGAAGUAUGAAGCCUCACAUGCCAUUACAAGUAUCAAACUACCAAACCAAACUAAGUUAUUCUGUCAAAAGUAAUUCAAUUAGAUUUGUGUCUUUAUAUGUUGCCUCUUGUUACCAGACAGUAUGGAGGCUGCCCUAGAUCCAUGUGAAUGACUCAGAGUUCACAAGAGUGGAACACAUUAACUGGUAAGGUAUUUGCUAUCUAAGCUUUAACAUGUGAAAAUUUCCAUUGUUUUUGACCUAUGUUGUUUUUAAAUCUUAAAUGUACGGAUAUAAACACAUUAAAUCGAGUUACUUUAAACAAUAUUCCUCGUCAGACCUUACACAAUGCAAUGAAGAUGACUGUCCCAAGAUGGGUUGUAUAAAUACUCACUGUGUGCCCUCUGCUUUUAGGAACAGCUUGACUACGGAUGACAUGUGACCCGGGAGACUUAUGAGUGCAAUACGAACUCCGGGUCCCAGACGUCCAUGAGUCCCUGUAGGCGGUCGGACACUUAGUGUUCAGGCUUUGUUUGCAGCAUUCCAACACAAGAUAUGAUCAUGCACUCCUCCUGACUGCAGUUACCAGCGGAGGGCAGCAAGGACCGUCAUGUGGAUGGACCGAAGGCUGCGUGUGACAGGGGAAGGAGGAGGAGGCUGGACCCUGAUAUUCCACCACCAGAACACACACACAAACACCACCCUGUACGCUGAUUGGAAGGAUCACGAAGACGGAUGACCUCGGCAGCAAUAGUUGUAGGCCGGGUGUAAUUUUAGCUAUUCCUCGAAGCUAAACAAAUAAAGCAAUAAGGAGCUUGAUAAUUGUGCAGUAAGGGUGUUCUCUUCGAGUAUUUCCAUUCAUUUUGAUACGCAUAACUUUUGAGAUGUCGUGGUUGUUUUGUAUGGGCCACAUGAGAUAUUUGUCUGGGUUAGGGUUAAGGAUUAGGAGCAAUACCCACAUAUUUUAUAUCAAGUGCCAUCCGCAAUUCUAGUUCAAUUUGGAAGUAACUGACAUUAGUAUUAUAAUUAAAAUACAAAUGGGUGGAG